AAGUCGUAACAAGGUUUCCGUAGGUGAACCUGCGGAAGGAUCAUUACAGUGUUCCCUGCCCUCACGGGUAGAAACGCCCACCCUUGUAUAUUAUAUCUUUGUUGCUUCGGCAGGCCGCCUUCGGGCACCGGCUCCGGCUGGAUCGUGCCUGCCAAAGGAAACCCAAACUCUGAAUGUUAGUGUCGUCUGAGUACUAUCUAAUAGUUAAAA
rnacentral:misc_RNA from 1 species